rnacentral:rRNA from 1 species
UACGUAGGGUGCGAGCGUUGUCCGGAAUUACUGGGCGUAAAGAGCUCGUAGGUGGUUUGUCGCGUUGUUCGUGAAAACUCACAACUCAAUUGUGGGCGUGCGGGCGAUACGGGCAGACUGGAGUACUGCAGGGGAGACUGGAAUUCCUGGUGUAGCGGUGGAAUGCGCAGAUAUCAGGAGGAACACCGGUGGCGAAGGCGGGUCUCUGGGACGGUACUGACGCUGAGACGCGAAAGCGUGGGGAGCGAACAGG